CUCAGCAAAAUCAACAAAAAUACUUUUGCUUCGAAUUCCUUCCAGCAGAAUAGAGGAAACCAAUUCCAGUCUACCAACACCGACAAUAAUUUCCCCCAGAACCAAUUCCAGAAUUCUCAGGCCCAGCAAAAUUCCCAGAACCAGUUCCAGACAUCCUUUGAAAGGGACAAUUCCAGGAACAGAAUCACAUUGCUGGAAAAUGUUCAGCUAACUCCAUCUACUCGCUUCCAGACUACUUCUGGACAGCAGCCAUCUGGAAUAGCUUUUUUGCAGUCUAACAGAAACCAGCAGAACUCAGGUGACCAAUUCCAGGGGUCAAACUCUGCAAGCAACUUCCGUUCUAAUGACAACAACAGAUUCUCCACUGGAAGUCAGUCUCAGUCCAGUGCUCAGUUCAGAUCCGGUUCCUCUUCCUCCAGUGAAUUUGACCCCCCGGUGUUUUCGAACCCCUGAACCUUCCCUCUGGAGCCAGUGCCAUCCUCGGAAGCAUCUCCACUUCCUUCAGCUGCGUCGAGAGGCCUUAUGGCUACUAUGCUGACCAAGACAACUCCUGCCGUGUCUUCCACAUCUGCAAUCCUUAUCUCUUCUCUGAUGGAGAAGUUCAGACUUAUCAGUACAGCUUCAUGUGCGGCGAGGGCACCAUCUUUUGACCAGAACGAAAUGACCUGCAAGGCAGAGUACGAUGCAAACACCGUGCCAGGAAGCCCAGAACUUCUAUUUCAGGAACGAAGAAUUCGGUCUCCCUGAAGAGAAAUCUCUUUAAGAUGCCACGACAAUACGAUCCCUUGUGAACCUGAUUUGUCAUAUACAAAUUUGGAUGGAGUCCUUCAUUUACCUGAAAAAAUUCUGGCAAAAAAAAUAUUUUGCAUAUCUAAAACAUUUCAUGUAAAAUAAAUGUCAGAAUCAAAUGGAUAUUUACGAACCUUUUGAAUGAUAAAUAUAUCUUAAAG